GACGAACGCUGGCGGCGUGCCUAAUACAUGCAAGUCGAACGCUUCUUUCCUCCCGAGUGCUUGCACUCAAUUGGAAAGAGGAGUGGCGGACGGGUGAGUAACAUGUGGGUAACCUACCCAUCAGAGGGGGAUAACACUUGGAAACAGGUGCUAAUACCGCAUAACAGUUUAUGCCGCAUGGCAUAAGAGUGAAAGGCGCUUUCGGGUGUCGCUGAUGGAUGGACCCGCGGUGCAUUAGCUAGUUGGUGAGGUAACGGCUCACCAAGGCCACGAUGCAUAGCCGACCUGAGAGGGUGAUCGGCCACACUGGGACUGAGACACGGCCCAGACUCCUACGGGAGGCAGCAGUAGGGAAUCUUCGGCAAUGGACGAAAGUCUGACCGAGCAACGCCGCGUGAGUGAAGAAGGUUUUCGGAUCGUAAAACUCUGUUGUUAGAGAAGAACAAGGACGUUAGUAACUGAACGUCCCCUGACGGUUUCUAACCAGAAAGCCACGGCUAACUACGUG
rnacentral:rRNA from 1 species